UGCUUAAAAAGCUUUAGAGCGCCAGGAC
rnacentral:sRNA from 1 species